AACAUCGCGCACCUGCGGGAACCUGCGGAGGGAUCAUUAUCGAGUUAGGGUCGUUCUGGCCCGAACUUCCAACCCCUUGUUUAUCACACCAUGUUGCUUUGGUAGGCCCGCUCUUUUAGGGGGGCCGCCGGAGGUUAUCCUACCUCUAGCCCGUGCCUGCCAGUAGCCUUAUUAAAUUCUUUUUAACUGUGUCGUCUGAGUGGUAUUUUCAAAUCAUUUAAAACUUUUAGCAAUGGAUCU
rnacentral:misc_RNA from 1 species